AUCUAAGUACCCCGAGGAAAAGAAAUCAACCGAGAUUCCCCCAGUAGCGGCGAGCGAACGGGGAGGAGCCCAGAGCCUGAAUCAGCAUGUGUGUUAGUGGAAGCGUCUGGAAAGGCGCGCGAUACAGGGUGACAGCCCCGUACACAAAAGCGCAUGUGCUGUGAGCUCGAUGAGUAGGGCGGGACACGUGGUAUCCUGUCUGAAUAUGGGGGGACCAUCCUCCAAGGCUAAAUACUCCUGACUGACCGAUAGUGAACCAGUACCGUGAGGGAAAGGCGAAAAGAACCCCGGCGAGGGGAGUGAAAAAGAACCUGAAACCGUGUACGUACAAGCAGUGGGAGCACAGGUUUACCUGUGUGACUGCGUACCUUUUGUAUAAUGGGUCAGCGACUUAUAUUCUGUAGCAAGGUUAACCGAAUAGGGGAGCCGCAGGGAAACCGAGUCUUAAUUGGGCGUUAAGUUGCAGGGUAUAGACCCGAAACCCGGUGAUCUAGCCAUGGGCAGGUUGAAGGUUGGGUAACACUAACUGGAGGACCGAACCGACUAAUGUUGAAAAAUUAGCGGAUGACCUGUGGCUGGGGGUGAAAGGCCAAUCAAACCGGGAGAUAGCUGGUUCUCCCCGAAAGCUAUUUAGGUAGCGCCUCGUGAAUUCAUCUCCGGGGGUAGAGCACUGUUUCGGCUAGGGGGCCAUCCCGGCUUACCAACCCGAUGCAAACUGCGAAUACCGGAGAAUGUUAUCACGGGAGACACACGGCGGGUGCUAACGUCCGUCGUGAAGAGGGAAACAACCCAGACCGCCAGCUAAGGUCCCAAAGUCAUGGUUAAGUGGGAAACGAUGUGGGAAGGCCCAGACAGCCAGGAUGUUGGCUUAGAAGCAGCCAUCAUUUAAAGAAAGCGUAAUAGCUCACUGGUCGAGUCGGCCUGCGCGGAAGAUGUAACGGGGCUAAACCAUG
rnacentral:rRNA from 1 species